ACUGGAUAAUGCACACAGUCCAGGUUCAAGGUCUUUCUGUUCAUCUCUUCCCUCUGAGAGGGAAUCAAAAUGGAGUUGUCUCCGAGGGCCAGAUCUAGUCACCGAAGGCCGAAGGUCUUCAAGCAGGCUGCAAGAUGUUAAGUGUGUUAUCAGACCAACCAAAUGGCUCCUCCUCCUUGUGUACCACAACUGAUAACACAGAAGAAGAACAGACUGUUAUGCAGUUGUGCUGAGUUUCUUGGGAACACACAUUGCUGCUCUUAUGUAAAUCUGGGGGUUUGGAGACAUCCCACCUUCACAAGGCCUGUAUCAGAACAGCUGUUUGUCAUGGACAUUAAAGAAAGAUCUCUAAAUUUAGGUCUGAAUGCAUGGCACUCUCUUUCCCCAACGCUUGUUACAACACUGCAUACCAACUAUUCUCCUGGAGUAUCCAUACAGAGAAAGCACCAAUCAACUUGAAGUUGCAGUGGAAAUGCCACAGAGAUGCCGCCCUAUGCAGCACAUACCACUCAACAGUCCGGAAGCAUGCUCCUAGGAGUACACAACAACACCUUGCCCAUCAGAACCCCAAUGUUAGGUGGUUCCCAUGGAGAACCCAGAGGCUUUCGAAGAGAAGGGUUCAAGUCCCACCUUGGUGCGAUGGAUUCCACACAGAUAUUACUAGGAACAAUGCACACAUUUGUACUGUUGUUGGUGCGAGGGAGGAACACUUUUUUGAAAGGAAGGGGGGUGAGGCCUGCAUAAAUAAGGAAAAAUGAAUACUUUGGCAGAAAAUUCAUACGAGGCAGAAGUCUGAAGCUUUCUGGUAGCUCCAGGGGAAAGGGCAAUUCAAUGGGAAGUAUGGAAAGAAGAGCAGGGUUCUUCUUUUGUUCCUCCUGAGUUUUGCUCUUUCCCACCUCCAUUCUUCUUCUUCUUUUACCUUCUGCCCUGGUGGUAUAUUUUCAAUGUAAUGGUUAUGCAAGCACUGUUUAUUGUCAGUGCGGUGGUAAAUGGUAAAUCUGCUACACCAUCAUAA